rnacentral:rRNA from 1 species
GGGUUGUGAGGUUAAGCGAACAAGCGUACACGGUGGAUGCCCUGGCAGUCAGAGGCGAUGAAGGACGUGCUAAUCUGCGAAAAGCGCCGGUAAGGUGAUAUGAACCGUUAUAACCGGCGAUGUCCGAAUGGGGAAACCCGGUGCACUUCGGUGCAUCAUCGUUAGCUGAAUACAUAGGCUAACGAAGCGAACCGGGGGAACUGAAACAUCUAAGUACCCCGAGGAAAAGAAAUCAACCGAGAUUCCCCCAGUAGCGGCGAGCGAACGGGGAACAGCCCAGAGCCUGAAUCAGCUUGUGUGUCAGUGGAACGGUCUGGAAAGGCCGGCGAUACAGGGUGACAGCCCCGUACACGAAGGCACACAGGCUGUGAGCUCGAUGAGUAGGGCGGGACACGUGAUAUCCUGUCUGAAGAUGGGGGGACCAUCCUCCAAGGCUAAAUACUCCUGACUGACCGAUAGUGAACCAGUACCGUGAGGGAAAGGCGAAAAGAACCCCGGCGAGGGGAGUGAAACAGAACCUGAAACCGUGUACGUACAAGCAGUGGGAGCCUUCGUAAGAGGGUGACUGCGUACCUUUUGUAUAAUGGGUCAGCGACUUAUAUUCUGUAGCAAGGUUAACCGUAUAGGGGAGCCGAAGGGAAACCGAGUCUUAACCGGGCGUUAAGUUGCAGGGUAUAGACCCGAAACCCGGUGAUCUAGCCAUGGGCAGGUUGAAGGUUGGGUAACACUAACUGGAGGACCGAACCGACUAAUGUUGAAAAAUUAGCGGAUGACCUGUGGCUGGGGGUGAAAGGCCAAUCAAACCGGGAGAUAGCUGGUUCUCCCCGAAAGCUAUUUAGGUAGCGCCUCGUGAAUUCAUCUCCGGGGGUAGAGCACUGUUUCGGCUAGGGGGCCAUCCCGGCUUACCAACCCGAUGCAAACUGCGAAUACCGGAGAAUGUUAUCACGGGAGACACACGGCGGGUGCUAACGUCCGUCGUGAAGAGGGAAACAACCCAGACCGCCAGCUAAGGUCCCAAAGUCAUGGUUAAGUGGGAAACGAUGUGGGAAGGCCCAGACAGCCAGGAUGUUGGCUUAGAAGCAGCCAUCAUUUAAAGAAAGCGUAAUAGCUCACUGGUCGAGUCGGCCUGCGCGGAAGAUGUAACGGGGCUAAACCAUGCACCGAAGCUGCGGCAGCGACGCUUAUGCGUUGUUGGGUAGGGGAGCGUUCUGUAAGCCUGUGAAGGUGUGCUGUGAGGCAUGCUGGAGGUAUCAGAAGUGCGAAUGCUGACAUAAGUAACGAUAAAGCGGGUGAAAAGCCCGCUCGCCGGAAGACCAAGGGUUCCUGUCCAACGUUAAUCGGGGCAGGGUGAGUCGACCCCUAAGGCGAGGCCGAAAGGCGUAGUCGAUGGGAAACAGGUUAAUAUUCCUGUACUUGGUGUUACUGCGAAGGGGGGACGGAGAAGGCUAUGUCGGCCGGGCGACGGUUGUCCCGGUUUAAGCGUGUAGGCUGACUUUCCAGGCAAAUCCGGAAAGUUAAGGCUGAGGCGUGAUGACGAGGCACCACGGUGCUGAAGUGACAAAUGCCCUGCUUCCAGGAAAAGCCUCUAAGCAUCAGGUAACAUCAAAUCGUACCCCAAACCGACACAGGUGGUCAGGUAGAGAAUACCAAGGCGCUUGAGAGAACUCGGGUGAAGGAACUAGGCAAAAUGGUGCCGUAACUUCGGGAGAAGGCACGCUGACAUGUAGGUGAAGCCCCUGCGGGUGGAGCUGAAGUCAGUCGAAGAUACCAGCUGGCUGCAACUGUUUAUUAAAAACACAGCACUGUGCAAACACGAAAGUGGACGUAUACGGUGUGACGCCUGCCCGGUGCCGGAAGGUUAAUUGAUGGGGUUAUCGCAAGAGAAGCUCCUGAUCGAAGCCCCGGUAAACGGCGGCCGUAACUAUAACGGUCCUAAGGUAGCGAAAUUCCUUGUCGGGUAAGUUCCGACCUGCACGAAUGGCGUAAUGAUGGCCAGGCUGUCUCCACCCGAGACUCAGUGAAAUUGAACUCGCUGUGAAGAUGCAGUGUACCCGCGGCAAGACGGAAAGACCCCGUGAACCUUUACUACAGCUUGACACUGAACAUUGAGCCUUGAUGUGUAGGAUAGGUGGGAGGCUUUGAAGCGUGGACGCCAGUCUGCGUGGAGCCGACCUUGAAAUACCACCCUUUAAUGUUUGAUGUUCUAACCUGGCGCCGUGAUCCGGCGUGGGGACAGUGUCUGGUGGGUAGUUUGACUGGGGCGGUCUCCUCCCAAAGUGUAACGGAGGAGCACGAAGGUCAGCUAAUCCUGGUCGGACAUCAGGAGGUUAGUGCAAUGGCAUAAGCUGGCUUGACUGCGAGAGUGACGGCUCGAGCAGGUGCGAAAGCAGGUCAUAGUGAUCCGGUGGUUCUGUAUGGAAGGGCCAUCGCUCAACGGAUAAAAGGUACUCCGGGGAUAACAGGCUGAUACCGCCCAAGAGUUCAUAUCGACGGCGGUGUUUGGCACCUCGAUGUCGGCUCAUCACAUCCUGGGGCUGAAGUAGGUCCCAAGGGUAUGGCUGUUCGCCAUUUAAAGUGGUACGCGAGCUGGGUUUAGAACGUCGUGAGACAGUUCGGUCCCUAUCUGCCGUGGGCGCUGGAGAAUUGAGGGGGGCUGCUCCCAGUACGAGAGGACCGGAGUGGACGCAUCACUGGUGUUCGGGUUGUCAUGCCAAUGGCACUGCCCGGUAGCUAAAUGCGGAAGAGAUAAGUGCUGAAAGCAUCUAAGCACGAAACUUGCCCCGAGAUGAGUUCUCCCUGAGACUGUAAGUCUCCUGAAGGAACGUUGAAGACGACGACGUUGAUAGGCCGGGUGUGUAAGCGCAGCGAUGCGUUGAGCUAACCGGUACUAAUGAACCGUGAGGCUUAACCUUACAACGCCAAAGAAGU